CCCUUAGACGUUCUGGGCCGCACGCGCGCUACACUGACCGGUGCAACAAGCAUCCGUCCUUGGCCGACAGGCCCGGGCAAUCUUUGAACGCCGGUCGUGAUGGGGAUAGACUUUUGCAAUUUUUGGUCUUCAACGAGGAAUUCCUAGUAAACGCAAGCCAUCAACUUGCAUUGAUUACGUCCCUGCCCUUUGUACACACCGCCCGUCGCACCUACCGAUUGAAUGGUCCGGUGAAGCCUCCGGAUUGGCGCGCACCUCGGUGCCGCCGAGAAGUUGGCUAAACCUUACCAUUUAGAGGAAGGUGAAGUCGUAACA
rnacentral:rRNA from 1 species